CCGCCUGCCCUGUGAUAAUUUAUUUAACGGCCGCGGUAUUUUGACCGUGCAAAGGUAGCGCAAUCACUUGUCUUUUAAAUGAAGACCUGUAUGAAUGGCAUAACGAGGGCUUAACUGUCUCCCCCCCUCAGUCAAUGAAAUUGAUCUUUCCGUGCAGAAGCGGGAAUCACCCCAUAAGACGAGAAGACCCUGUGGAGCUUUAGACAAUAAAUAGCCCCUGUAAAGAAACCUUACUAAAAGAGCUGAAACAUGGGGGGCCCUAUUUUGCUGUCUUUGGUUGGGGCGACCGCGGGGAAACAAAAAACCCCCAUGAGGAAUAAGAAUACCCUCUUUAAACCAAGAGUGUCAACUCAAAGUAACAGAAUAUCUGACCUAAAAUGAUCCGGCUAUACCGAUCAACGAAAACAGUUACCCCAGGGAUAACAGCGCAAUCCUCUCCCAGAGCCCAUAUCGACGAGGGGGUUUACGACCUCGAUGUUGGAUCAGGACAUCCUAAUGGUGCAGCCGCUAUUAAGGGUUCGUUUGUUCAACGAUUAAAGU
rnacentral:rRNA from 1 species